CGUUCGUGCUCUGCCUAAAAAAGUAAAAGAAAAAACAUUCUAAUCAAAAUAAAACAAGAUGAAAAGACUGAAAAGUCAUGUGCUGCUUUGACUGACAGUUUUAUCAACAGUUGCCCCACGUUUAAUACGUUCUCGACUAUAAUAAGCUGCAUUGGUCCACCAAUCCGCUUUCAUUUUUACAUAACGUAAUAUCAUGGCUUCAAUGGGAGCAGGAAGCCCAGCAACUUUCCAAGCCUUAACUCCUUCAGGCAUCAUAUCGACAAUAUCAUGCAUCACAGCAGCACGAAGUUCUAAAUCAAAAUGGGAUUCAACCCGUUGCUUUGUAACGGUUUUGGCGAUGCCUUUUGAU